rnacentral:rRNA from 1 species
AUUGAACGCUGGCGGCAGGCCUAACACAUGCAAGUCGAACGAGUGGCGGACGGGUGAGUAAUGUAUGGGAAUCUGCCCGAUGGAGGGGGAUAACUACUGGAAACGGUGGCUAAUACCGCAUACUAUCGGAUGAACCCAUAUGGGAUUAGCUAGUAGGUGGGGUAAAGGCUCACCUAGGCGACGAUCUCUAGCUGGUCUGAGAGGAUGACCAGCCACACUGGAACUGAGACACGGCCCAGACUCCUACGGGAGGCAGCAGUGGGGAAUAUUGCACAAUGGGCGCAAGCCUGAUGCAGCCAUGCCGCGUGUAUGAAGAAGGCCUUAGGGUUGUAAAGUACUUUCAGCGGGGAGGCGUUACCCGCAGAAGAAGCACCGGCUAACUCCGUGCCAGCAGCCGCGGUAAUAC